UACAAAAUGAGACGUAUAUAUUUAAGUUUUUUUCUGUCUCAUUUAAUACACCUCUAUAUGGGCACCGUUAGUUGCACGAAACACACCAAGACGGUACUCGAUUUCUUAGACGAUCGAUGUUUUCCUCAGAUAUUCUUGGUCGUCCACUUCUCCCUUUAUCAAACAUUGUCCCUGUCUCCAUAAAUUUCUUGUGCCAUGCACGAAUUGAUGGACGCGACGGUGGAUCUCUUUCAUACUUAGUUCUGAAGGAUCGGAAGAGCAAAC